rnacentral:rRNA from 1 species
UACGGGGGGGAGCAAGCGUUGUUCGGAUUUACUGGGCGUAAAGGGCGCGUAGGCGGCCUGCUAAGUCGGAUGUGAAAUCCCUCGGCUCAACCGAGGAACUGCAUCCGAUACUGGCGGGCUUGAAUCCGGGAGAGGGAUGUGGAAUUCCAGGUGUAGCGGUGAAAUGCGUAGAUAUCUGGAGGAACACCGGUGGCGAAGGCGGCAUCCUGGACCGGUAUUGACGCUGAGGCGCGAAAGCUAGGGGAGCAAACGGG